GUCUACGGCCAUGCCACUCUGAACAUGUCCGAUCCUGUCUGAUCUCGGAAGCUAAGCAGGGUCGGGCCUGGUUAGUACUUGGGUGGGAGACCACCUAGGAAGACCAGGUGCUGUAGGCG
rnacentral:rRNA from 1 species